ACUCCUACGGGAGGCAGCAGUGAGGAAUUUUGGACAAUGGGGGAAACCCUGAUCCAGCGACGCCGCGUGUGGGAUGAAUGGGUUAUGCCCUGUAAACCACUGUCAGCAGAGAAGAAAAGGCUCCUUUGGAGCCCGGGACUGUAUCUGCAGAGGAAGGACCGGCUAACUACGUGCCAGCAGCCGCGGUAAUACGUAGGGUCCAAGCGUUGUCCGGAAUUACUGGGUAUAAAGGGUGCGCAGGCGGGCUCGUGCGUCGAAGGUUAAAGGCCAUGGCUCAACCAUGGAAAUGCCCUCGAUACGGCGAGUCUUGAGUAUGAGAGAGGAAGAUGGAAUUCCUGGUGUAGCAGUGAAAUGCGUAGAUAUCAGGAGGAACACCGGUGGCGAAGGCGGUCUUCUGGCUCAUUACUGACGCUCAGGCACGAAAGCGUGGGGAGCGAACAGGAUUAGAUACCCUGGUAGGAUAGCG
rnacentral:rRNA from 1 species